UCAGAGACUCAGAGUCUCAUCUUGACAAACACCAUUGUCUUGGUGUGCUAGAGUUCUCUAAGAGUGAAGACUGGUCCUAUUCACCGACUGGCCUCUCUCUCAUAGGCUAGUCACCCACAUGGGCAGUUACAAGU
ensembl:snoRNA